UAGCCAUUCUCCUUUAUAAACCACCGCCUCAGGCCCAAAACCAGAUGACGCUACCGACCCCAGCCCAAUAUUAUAACCCCUCUUAUCUCCAUCAUUGUACAACAACAGAAUAGCACCAGCAGCAACAACGUUAACGACAACAACCUAUCAAAACUCCAUCAAAUCCAAGCCAUACACAGCACCAAGAGCUUCAAGCGACACCCUUAAUCAUCAAACGACCUGCAAUUUCAUCCCAAACUGUUAAAGCCUGAGGUGUCCUAUUCUAGAAGUUUCUAGAUUUGUCCAGGUGUCUCUCCCAACGCUUACAGUCCUUGAAAUCCGACGAAUUCCUCUCGUAAUCGUCCAAGUCGGUACUCUACAGUACAUACGUGGACGUUUGAUUGAUGAUCCCAUUUGAAUUUAAAGUUUACCACCAAUUCUAAUCUCCCCCCCCCCCCCCCCCCCAACCCCAUACACACACACAGUCCAAUCCUAAUUCCCAUCUAUAAAUAAAUAAAUACUCCCUUCCCCUUACUGAUUAAAGCGAGGGUUUUUAUUUUUUUUGGGGGGGGGGGGGGGGGGCGUAUCACGUAGCCAAAAUUCUCAAACUACUUGAAAAAUCAAAUCCGACAGACUUUUUGAAUUUCAGUAGAGCAGAAUCAAGUUUUGGUGGUGAAAGCUUCAUCGUUAUAAACUAGUUCGUCCCGGUUCCUACUCCACAGUAGGGGACUGAAGAAGCCUGAAAGCUUUGAGUCUAACCUUCAAAACUUGGUCCAAAGGGACUAGUAUACACCGAUAUACGACAGAUAUAUGGGCUUUACAGGUUGAAGAUGGCCGGUAUAUGCCGAUAUAUUGUGCAUAACAAAAUUGGAAGUAAGUUUACGGGUCCUUAUACACUGAUAUACAGUGUAGAUACUGGAAAAUGCAGCCAAACAAGGCUGGUAUACAGUAACGAAAAAUAGGCUAGAAGUCCAUGGGGUUUUUUGAAGUCUAAAAGCUGGAUAGCUUUGCUAAUGGGCCAGCAGGGGCCCAAAUCUUAAAACUUUUGCUCACUUUUUCUUGUAUUUAUUCAUGUUGCUUGUAAUUAACUCUUUUAACUUUAUUUAAUAAUCUAAGUGAUCCCCUAUUAUGCCA